rnacentral:lncRNA from 1 species
GAACCAUGUAGCUAAAGGUUGCCCCAUCUAUGGAGAUGUCCAAAACUCAACCAGAGACAGCCCUGAGCACCCUGCUCUGGCUGACCCCACUCUGAGGACAGAGGUGACUGGAUCAUCUUCUGAGAUCCUGCUCCACCUCCAACCAAUCUGUGAAUGUGGGAGAGAGCACUGGGCUGUGCAGGGCCACAGCUGAGACUGGCUAAGGCAGCAGGAGCACUCUCAGACAUGCUGUGGUGCUGCUGGAAGGCUCCUGCACUGUGCAGACAGGCUCAGAGCUGAGCUGCUGCAACACAUCCACCUCCAGGCACUGUGGUGGUGAGGCUGUUCUCCCUGGAGGAGGCAAGGCUGUGAAGCAACCCAUGGAAUUUAAGCAUCAAAAGCCACAUGAGCAUCAGGUGUCAAGCCUGACCAGCUGGUGGUAAUGAUAAAGUUAUUUUGCAAAACAACAGUGAACUGUCUGGGGAUGUUUUGUUUUUCUAGCUGCCUUCUUGUUGCUGCCCCAAAGAUUUGUGGUGAAGGACACAUGUUCACAUCUCCCAUUGUACCUGCUUGUGCCUCAAGUGCUUGGCAGCACUGUUCUCAUCUCUAAAGGAGCUCCUUGUUGUCUGUGUAAUCUCUGCCUGGAUUAAGUGGCAAAAGGCGAAUCCUCAGCUUAUGGGAAGAGCACACUUGACCUCUGCCUCCUCAGAGCUGCACUCUCCCUGGGGAGGAAGUGUUGGCUCAGCCCUGAACAAAGCACUGGCUGUAAGGAGUGAGACUUUCUUGCCCUAGCAGUGUGGGGUUGGGCCUGGGGUCAGAUCUAUGCUGCAGUGAGAAGGAAGAGACAGAAGACCCAGUGACCUGGAAGUUUAGAAGUAGCCAGCUCAACUUACUGAGAAAUGUGAAGCCACAUGAACUCCUCCAUCAGCAGAAAUAUACUGUCGGGGCAGGUGGUCCUACUGGUACAUCUAGAUAUGAAUUUUCUUAGCAAGAUGCAAAUGAAUUUGUUUUCCUAUUUUCCAACCCAUUCUCCUCUGUUGUGUCUUGCAGUACUUCCUGCCCUGAGUUGUGGUGCAUUCUUUGCAGGUUCUUCAAGUCCCAUGGAAGACAUCAUUGGCAGUAAACUGUGCUGUUGUAUGGGCUUAAGAUGCUACAUGUGCUCAGUGAUAUCUGUGCAGAGCUCAGCCAUAGGAGAAAUGAAGAGGUCUCCCCUUCAGGGGCGGGCAGUGCAGGAGAAGGGAGCAGAACAGCGAGCACUGCAGGACAAGAGCAUUGCCUUACCUGCAGGUGGACCAGCAGAUGGAAGGUGAGUGCAGACUGCAGACUCUGCCAUCUGUCAGCCAAGCUGCUGUUGAGUGUCAGUAGGGGAAAGAGUGGUUUUAAGGAGUACAUCUAUAUCUAGUGUCACUUGCUUUACCACUGGGAGAAGGUUUGCUUGUCAGCUGCUGUGA